rnacentral:rRNA from 1 species
UACGAAGGGGGCUAGCGUUGCUCGGAAUCACUGGGCGUAAAGGGUGCGUAGGCGGGUUUUUAAGUCAGGGGUGAAAUCCUGGAGCUCAACUCCAGAACUGCCUUUGAUACUGAAGAUCUUGAGUUCGGGAGAGGUGAGUGGAACUGCGAGUGUGGAGGUGAAAUUCGUAGAUAUUCGCAAGAACACCAGUGGCGAAGGCGGCUCACUGGCCCGAUACUGACGCUGAGGCACGAAAGCGUGGGGAGCAAACAGG